rnacentral:rRNA from 1 species
GACGAACGCUGGCGGCGUGCCUAAUACAUGCAAGUUGAGCGCUGAAGGUUGGUACUUGUACCAACUGGAUGAGCAGCGAACGGGUGAGUAACGCGUGGGGAAUCUGCCUUUGAGCGGGGGACAACAUUUGGAAACGAAUGCUAAUACCGCAUAAAAACUUUAAACACAAGUUUUAAGUUUGAAAGAUGCAAUUGCAUCACUCAAAGAUGAUCCCGCGUUGUAUUAGCUAGUUGGUGAGGUAAAGGCUCACCAAGGCGAUGAUACAUAGCCGACCUGAGAGGGUGGUCGGCCACAUUGGGACUGGGACACGGCCCAAACCCCUACGGGAGGCAGCAGUAGGGAAUCUUCGGCAAUGGACGAAAGUCUGACCGAGCAACGCCGCGUGAGUGAAGAAGGUUUUCGGAUCGUAAAACUCUGUUGGUAGAGAAGAACGUUGGUGAGAGUGGAAAGCUCAUCAAGUGACGGUAACUACCCAGAAAGGGACGGCUAACUACGUG